UGAGGAAUAUUGGUCAAUGGGCGAAAGCCUGAACCAGCCAAAUCGCGUGAAGGAAGAAGGUGUUAUGCAUUGUAAACUUCUUUUGUCAGGGAAUAAAGUGCACCACGAGUGGUGUUUUGUAUGUACCUGAAGAAUAAAGACCGGCUAAUUCCGUGCCAGCAGCCGCGGUAAUACGGAAGGUCUGAGCGUUAUCCGGAUUUAUUGGGUUUAAAGGGUGCGUAGGCGGGCGUUUAAGUCAGCGGUGAAAGUUUGCGGCUCAACCGUAAAAUUGCCGUUGAUACUGGAUGUCUUGAGUGCAGAGGAGGUAGGCGGAAUUCGUCGUGUAGCGGUGAAAUGCGUAGAUAUGACGAAGAACACCAAUUGCGUAGGCAGCUUACCAUAGUGCAACUGACGCUGAGGCACGAAAGUGUGGGUAUCAAACAGG
rnacentral:rRNA from 2 species